rnacentral:piRNA from 1 species
UGCUCUUCUUUGAGAUAGCACGAAACGUGG